rnacentral:rRNA from 1 species
AGCGUACACGGUGGAUGCCCUGGCAGUCAGAGGCGAUGAAGGACGUGCUAAUCUGCGAUAAGCGUCGGUAAGGUGAUAUGAACCGUUAUAACCGGCGAUUUCCGAAUGGGGAAACCCAGUGUGAUUCGUCACACUAUCAUUAACUGAAUCCAUAGGUUAAUGAGGCGAACCGGGGGAACUGAAACAUCUAAGUACCCCGAGGAAAAGAAAUCAACCGAGAUUCCCCCAGUAGCGGCGAGCGAACGGGGAGCAGCCCAGAGCCUGAAUCAGUGUGUGUGUUAGUGGAAGCGUCUGGAAAGGCGUGCGAUACAGGGUGACAGCCCCGUACACAAAAAUGCACAUACUGUGAGCUCGAUGAGUAGGGCGGGACACGUGGUAUCCUGUCUGAAUAUGGGGGGACCAUCCUCCAAGGCUAAAUACUCCUGACUGACCGAUAGUGAACCAGUACCGUGAGGGAAAGGCGAAAAGAACCCCGGCGAGGGGAGUGAAAAAGAACCUGAAACCGUGUACGUACAAGCAGUGGGAGCACGCUUAGGCGUGUGACUGCGUACCUUUUGUAUAAUGGGUCAGCGACUUAUAUUCUGUAGCAAGGUUAACCGAAUAGGGGAGCCGAAGGGAAACCGAGUCUUAACUGGGCGUUAAGUUGCAGGGUAUAGACCCGAAACCCGGUGAUCUAGCCAUGGGCAGGUUGAAGGUUGGGUAACACUAACUGGAGGACCGAACCGACUAAUGUUGAAAAAUUAGCGGAUGACUUGUGGCUGGGGGUGAAAGGCCAAUCAAACCGGGAGAUAGCUGGUUCUCCCCGAAAGCUAUUUAGGUAGCGCCUCGUGAAUUCAUCUCCGGGGGUAGAGCACUGUUUCGGCAAGGGGGUCAUCCCGACUUACCAACCCGAUGCAAACUGCGAAUACCGGAGAAUGUUAUCACGGGAGACACACGGCGGGUGCUAACGUCCGUCGUGAAGAGGGAAACAACCCAGACCGCCAGCUAAGGUCCCAAAGUCAUGGUUAAGUGGGAAACGAUGUGGGAAGGCCCAGACAGCCAGGAUGUUGGCUUAGAAGCAGCCAUCAUUUAAAGAAAGCGUAAUAGCUCACUGGUCGAGUCGGCCUGCGCGGAAGAUGUAACGGGGCUAAACCAUGCACCGAAGCUGCGGCAGCGACGCUGAUGCGUUGUUGGGUAGGGGAGCGUUCUGUAAGCCUGUGAAGGUGUACUGUGAGGUAUGCUGGAGGUAUCAGAAGUGCGAAUGCUGACAUAAGUAACGAUAAAGCGGGUGAAAAGCCCGCUCGCCGGAAGACCAAGGGUUCCUGUCCAACGUUAAUCGGGGCAGGGUGAGUCGACCCCUAAGGCGAGGCCGAAAGGCGUAGUCGAUGGGAAACAGGUUAAUAUUCCUGUACUUGGUGUUACUGCGAAGGGGGGACGGAGAAGGCUAUGUUGGCCGGGCGACGGUUGUCCCGGUUUAAGCGUGUAGGCUGGUUUUCCAGGCAAAUCCGGAAAAUCAAGGCUGAGGCGUGAUGACGAGGCACUACGGUGCUGAAGCAACAAAUGCCCUGCUUCCAGGAAAAGCCUCUAAGCAUCAGGUAACAUCAAAUCGUACCCCAAACCGACACAGGUGGUCAGGUAGAGAAUACCAAGGCGCUUGAGAGAACUCGGGUGAAGGAACUAGGCAAAAUGGUGCCGUAACUUCGGGAGAAGGCACGCUGAUAUGUAGGUGAAGUCCCUCGCGGAUGGAGCUGAAAUCAGUCGAAGAUACCAGCUGGCUGCAACUGUUUAUUAAAAACACAGCACUGUGCAAACACGAAAGUGGACGUAUACGGUGUGACGCCUGCCCGGUGCCGGAAGGUUAAUUGAUGGGGUUAGCGCAAGCGAAGCUCUUGAUCGAAGCCCCGGUAAACGGCGGCCGUAACUAUAACGGUCCUAAGGUAGCGAAAUUCCUUGUCGGGUAAGUUCCGACCUGCACGAAUGGCGUAAUGAUGGCCAGGCUGUCUCCACCCGAGACUCAGUGAAAUUGAACUCGCUGUGAAGAUGCAGUGUACCCGCGGCAAGACGGAAAGACCCCGUGAACCUUUACUAUAGCUUGACACUGAACAUUGAGCCUUGAUGUGUAGGAUAGGUGGGAGGCUUUGAAGUGUGGACGCCAGUCUGCAUGGAGCCGACCUUGAAAUACCACCCUUUAAUGUUUGAUGUUCUAACGUUGACCCGUAAUCCGGGUUGCGGACAGUGUCUGGUGGGUAGUUUGACUGGGGCGGUCUCCUCCUAAAGAGUAACGGAGGAGCACGAAGGUUGGCUAAUCCUGGUCGGACAUCAGGAGGUUAGUGCAAUGGCAUAAGCCAGCUUGACUGCGAGCGUGACGGCGCGAGCAGGUGCGAAAGCAGGUCAUAGUGAUCCGGUGGUUCUGAAUGGAAGGGCCAUCGCUCAACGGAUAAAAGGUACUCCGGGGAUAACAGGCUGAUACCGCCCAAGAGUUCAUAUCGACGGCGGUGUUUGGCACCUCGAUGUCGGCUCAUCACAUCCUGGGGCUGAAGUAGGUCCCAAGGGUAUGGCUGUUCGCCAUUUAAAGUGGUACGCGAGCUGGGUUUAGAACGUCGUGAGACAGUUCGGUCCCUAUCUGCCGUGGGCGCUGGAGAAUUGAGGGGGGCUGCUCCUAGUACGAGAGGACCGGAGUGGACGCAUCACUGGUGUUCGGGUUGUCAUGCCAAUGGCACUGCCCGGUAGCUAAAUGCGGAAGAGAUAAGUGCUGAAAGCAUCUAAGCACGAAACUUGCCCCGAGAUGAGUUCUCCCUGACUCCUUGA